rnacentral:rRNA from 1 species
AGGACGAACGCUGGCGGCGUGCUUAACACAUGCAAGUCGAGCGGAAAGGCCCUUCGGGGUACUCGAGCGGCGAACGGGUGAGUAACACGUGAGUAAUCUGCCCCUAGCUCUGGGAUAGCUCCGGGAAACCGGGAUUAAUACCGGAUACGACCACCUUAGACAUCUUUUGUGGUGGAAAGAAUUUCGGCUAGGGAUGAGCUCGCGGCCUAUCAGCUUGUUGGUGGGGUAACGGCCUACCAAGGCUUCGACGGGUAGCUGGUCUGAGAGGACGAUCAGCCACACUGGGACUGAGACACGGCCCAGACUCCCACGGGAGGCAGCAGUGGGGAAUCUUGCACAAUGGGCGAAAGCCUGAUGCAGCAACGCCGCGUGAGGGACGAAGGCUUUCUGAGUUGUAAACCUCUUUCAGCAGGGACGAUUGUGACGGUACUGCAGAAGAAGCCCCGGCCAACUACGUGCCAGCAGCCGC